rnacentral:rRNA from 1 species
GUAUCAAUGAAAUCUAUAAUUUAAAGACAACUUUUAACAAUGGAUCUCUUGGCUCUUGCAACGAUGAAGAACGCAGUAAAGUGCGAUAUCUAGUGCGAUUUGCAUGAAUCUGUGAGUCAUCGAGUCUUUGAACGCAACUUGCGCCACUUGGGCAACCAAGUGGCAUGUCUGUUUGAGUAUCACAAACCUCUUUAUUCCAAGUUUGGAAUAGAUUUGAAGGUUUUGGAGUUUUUCUCCAAUCCUUUGAAAUAAAGUUUGUUGGUGAUUGAUUGAUGGUCACUACCAUGUGCUAAAGACUUUAUGUCUUGUCAUGUUAAUGAUCAUAGUCAACCCAUUGCAAAGUCCGCUUUGCAAAACUACCUUUAAUGGUCUCAAAUCAGGCAAGACUACCCGCUGAACUUAAGCAUAUCAAUAAGCGGAG